UACGGGGGGGGCAAGCGUUGUUCGGAAUUACUGGGCGUAAAGGGCGCGUAGGCGGCCUGUUAAGUCACACGUGAAAUCCCUCGGCUCAACCGGGGAACUGCGUGUGAUACUGGCGGGCUUGAAUCCGGGAGAGGGAUGCAGAAUUCCAGGUGUAGCGGUGAAAUGCGUAGAUAUCUGGAGGAAUACCGGUGGCGAAGGCGGCAUCCUGGACCGGCAUUGACGCUGAGGAGCGAAAGCCAGGGGAGCAAACGGG
rnacentral:rRNA from 1 species